CGUAAGACGCCCGCUAUUGGUUAUCAGGUGGCACACAACGGAUGUUUUUGUUCGUCACAGUUUCCGGUGCGGUUGGAUGUUGUCUGCGUGGUGACUGUUGUGAGGAGAGAGCGGGAGCACACGUUUCUGCCUCAGUCUUCUAGUGAGUUCAUGUAGUGGAGGAGCUCCCGCCAUUCUCUCUGAGCUGCGUCCUGUACAGACGAGGCUGCACUUAGGUUCUUAGUUUUUGUGUUUUUACUGUCCUAGGCAAGUUUAGCACCCCUGACAAUUUCCAUGAUAAAUAUUUGGGUGUUUUGGAUCAGCAAUAUCAAAUAUCUGAACUACAACAGUGAUAUUAAGUAGUGAAAUGAGGCUUAUUGGAGUAACAGAAAAUGUGUAGACAGACACAGCAUGGACAUUCUGGAGAAGGAAAAGAAGUCUUAACUUGCAUGCACACAAUCCCUCUGCAUAAUACUAAGGCCCAUCCUGCUUCCUUUGCUCCAUUUCUAUUGCAAGGAAAUUUUUAACCAAGAUAACUAAUGUACUUCAAGUGCUCAAUCAAUGUCCAUUGAAAAGGCAAUCAUUUCUUCCUCUUCAGAGAUUUGGUAGCCAUCAUGUGCACUGUGAUGGUGAGGUUCCUGAUUUUUCACUAAAACCUGAAAAGAAAGAAUGUUAUUCUCAAAGCUUAUUCUCCAACUGUGCUUCAUCCUGAGUGCCAUUGAUGGGAGAACUGGUUUUGACCUAUUGCUGUAUGGACGUAUCAAAAAUUACUUACAUGCAAAUGAAAGUCCUUAAAGAAGCUCCUGCUGAUUUAAUAACAUUAUCUAACUACCUAAAUAAUACUGUAUGUAAUUGUUUUGUUAUUUGUUUCCAUCUCAAAAUUCCUGGAAUUUUUUACUUCAGUAGGGUUGUGAUCAUAUGGUGGCCUCCCUGGAAAUAACAUGCAUUUCCAGGCUUUCAAUUAGGCUACUAGAACCUCCUGUAUGAUGAAACUGCAUACAUUUCUUCAUGGGGGGAGGGAAGACAUGUCUGUUUCAGUUACUGAUAAUAGAGCACUUGUCACAGUGUUAUAUGCAAAAGAUCGAUCUUGGGCGCAGCUACAGUAGAAGACAG